AGAGAGAAAAUAUAGAGAGAGGUUUUUAUGAAAUUAUUAGAUGAUAUUUCACAAUGGGUAUACACACAUAUAUAUAGUACAAGAUAAGACGCUGACAUAAGCGCUUACCUCAGCGAUUACAUCAUCGCUUACAUCACACGCUAGUAGCGAUUACAUCAUCGCUUACAUCAUUAUUCAUUAUACUUAUUUUACAUAAUUAAACACACUUAUCUUACAUAAUUAUAC
rnacentral:lncRNA from 1 species